ensembl:snoRNA
ACCUUGAGUUCAGCUCAGGGCAGCUCCCCUGUUCUGUUAAUUAAACUCUGGGACAUCAAACUGGCUAAGGUAGAUCACUGCAUAGAAAAUAUUACUCUAUUCAUUUACCUCCCAGCCUAUAAAA